UCUUGACGGUACCGGCAGAAUAAGCACCGGCUAAGUACGUGCCAGCAGCCGCGGUAAUACGUAGGGUGCGAGCGUUAAUCGGAAUUACUGGGCGUAAAGCGUGCGCAGGCGGUUUGUUAAGUCUGAUGUGAAAGCCCCGGGCUCAACGUGGGAAUGGCAUUGGAAACUGGCAAGCUCGAGUUUGGCAGAGGGGGGUGGAAUUCCGCGUGUAGCAGUGAAAUGCGUAGAGAUGCGGAGGAACACCGAUGGCGAAGGCAGCCCCCUGGGCUAAGACUGACGCUCAGGCACGAAAGCGUGGGGAGCAAACAGGAUUAGAUACCCUGGUAGUCCACGCCCUAAACGAUGCUCACUAGGUGUUGGGGAAGCGAUUCCUUGGUACCGAAGCUAACGCGUGAAGUGAGCCGCCUGGGGAGUACGGCCGCAAGGUUAAAACUCAAAGGAAUUGACG
rnacentral:rRNA from 1 species